AUACGUAGGGUGCGAGCGUUGUCCGGAAUUACUGGGCGUAAAGAGCUCGUAGGUGGUUUGUCGCGUCGUCUGUGAAAUUCCGGGGCUUAACUCCGGGCGUGCAGGCGAUACGGGCAUAACUUGAGUACUGUAGGGGAGACUGGAAUUCCUGGUGUAGCGGUGAAAUGCGCAGAUAUCAGGAGGAACACCGGUGGCGAAGGCGGGUCUCUGGGCAGUAACUGACGCUGAGGAGCGAAAGCAUGGGUAGCGAACAGGAUUAGAUACCCUGGUAGCCCAUGCCGUAAACGGUGGGCGCUAGGUGUAGGGGUCUUCCACGACUUCUGUGCCGUAGCUAACGCAUUAAGCGCCCCGCCUGGGGAGUACGGCCGCAAGGCUAAAACUCAAAGGAAUUGACGGGG
rnacentral:rRNA from 1 species